rnacentral:rRNA from 1 species
CAGCCGCCGCGGGAAUACGAAGGGUGCAAGCGUUAAUCGGAAUUACUGGGCGUAAAGCGUGCGCAGGCGGUGAGUUAAGUCUGCUGUGAAAUCCCCGGGCUCAACCUGGGAAUGGCAGUGGAUACUGGCUCGCUAGAGUGUGUCAGAGGAUGGUGGAAUUCCCGGUGUAGCGGUGAAAUGCGUAGAGAUCGGGAGGAACAUCAGUGGCGAAGGCGACUAUCUGGGCCAACACUGACACUGAGGCACGAAAGCGUGGGGAGCAAACAGGAUUAGAUACCCCCGUAGUCCCUGUCUCUUAUAA